UUGGGUUGUAGCUCAGUGAUAGAGUGCUUGCUUUGCAUGCGUGGGGCCCUGGGUUUGAUCCUCAGUACCAAA
rnacentral:tRNA from 1 species